UCCUCCGUGGCGCAAUUGGCUAGCGCGUCUGACUGUUAACCUAAUGGUAGCUCAUCAGGAGGUUGAAAGUUCGAGCCUUUCCGGGGGAG
rnacentral:tRNA from 1 species